CCAAGUGGGUUCCACCUGAGGAAGGGGUCCAGUGAGGCUGCUGCUGAGUAGCUCUCCACAGUGUCAGGCUAGCAGUCUUCAGAGUCAGCCUGAGGAUUUCACAGGUGCUCGUGCCCCCUUAAACAGGAAAUUUGGCAUUGUGAGCUAAGCAUCUUCUCUAGCUGGGUGUCCCAAAUGGUUAACAAUCCCAGCAGCAAUGGAUGGGUGGUGAGGAGAUUGAUUGCCUCCUGCAAGCAGCUGACCCUACACGUGUUUAUCCAAGUGACUGGAGCUGUGCCAGUCUCUCUGCUUUCAGCCUUUGACUUCCCACGAACUGCUGACCCAUCAUGUGACAGCUGUGGUGGGGCCAGUGCUGCGAGAUGUGGUAUCGGUGCUUAUCGCCCCUGCUCGGGGGGAAGGGCCCCCAGCUGCCCCGGAGCCUGGCUGUGCUGGGGCACCAGCAGCACCAGCUCCGGCCUCGGGGAGUGGGCAAGCCCCAUGUGUGUCAGAGGGAGGGCUUAUGUACCAGCAGACCCCAUCCCUUAUGGAGAGAUGCUUCCCUGCUCCCUUGGAACAACUGCUUCAUGCCCACCCGGCCUUCAGAGCCCUGCACAGGACAUUUUGUGGGCUGCCAGACCUGGGCUCCUGUUUAACCAGUCCCUCUGCCCAGUGGGAGGUUUUUGCUUGCUCCCCCAGCACAUGACUUACAGGGUGGCUCCAAACUGCUCUUGGUCUUCCUGGGCUGGAGCCUGUUUACAAAACAGUGGCUGAAAGCUGCUAUUUAUCCUUACAUACACAUUGCAUUCAGAGUUGCUAAAUAGGCAAACCCAAAAUGAAAGUCAUCUGGGUUUUCUUUAAUUAGAAUAAAAUCCUGAUGAAUCAGGAGGUUCUGUACCUCAAGGAUGCACCAGGAAUUGACUUUGGCUGCAGACAGCAAGGUACAGCAGUCAGCAGAGCCGGCUCGCUGCCUUGACAUCUGCUGGAAAGACUUGUUUUUCCCUCCCGAGUCACAUGCUAGCUUGUGAUCUGAUCAUGGGAUACAAAGGAUAACCUUCCAAUAUUUGCUCUUCUCAUCUGCAAUUUCAAAAGGCAGGGGAAAAGAGCAAAAAGCAGCAUAAGAGAGGAAAGCACAAGCCCCCUUUCCUCACUUGAUUAGUGUUGCUGUAGGUGCUGUGCUUGUUGCUGGGACAGGGCAGGAGUCUGGCUGCAAUGCCAUGGGCUGUGCUUGUGCCUGUUGUGGCCCUGAGGGAGCAUGUCAGUGUGGACAGAGCAAUUGUUGCUCUGUGUUCAGCCACGUGGGCAUCCUCCCCUCCAGUGCCACCCCACCUGUGUGCCAGCAGAGGUGGGCAGGGGCUGCCUGUCCCAGGGUGACCUGCACUGGCACAGGCAGGGGAAGCCUGUCCUCCCCACGGCUGCCCAGCACUGGCCCUGUGCCAUCCUUCAGCAUUCAGCUUUCACGUUUUAUUAUAAAUGCCAAAGUGACAUUUUUUAUAACAAUAUCCUAAUGUAGUCAGUCAGGCAGGUGGAGUUACUUGUGCUCUAGUCCAAAGGUUUAUAGCAAGCCCAGCUGCAAGAUUAAACCAGAAUCACCCUUGAAUAAAAUCCCCUAUAUAAUUUUGGGGGAUUUUUUGCUAGUGCAGCUUGGGUACAUUUAUUUCUGUGAGCUGAUGCCUAUCAAGGACCAAAAACCCCCAGAAGUGCACCAUGGUCCACAGGGGCUGUUGUCUUUGAGGCUUUCAGGCUGCUGAAGGCUUUGGGGGAGUUCCUGCUGCAGGGAGAGCAGCACAGAGCAGUGGGGCAGGGCUGUCUGCUUGCUGAGCCAGAGAGGUGUGUGCCACUGAGCACCAAAUCUGCCACAGGCUGCAUAUGUGCAGCAAACCUGAAUUGCACGUAGAGUGGGAUUGCUCUGGGGAUGACAGGCUGGGAUCAGCAGUCUGUGUCUGUCUUUCCCAAACUGUGUCAGGGGAGAUGCUCCAGGCAAAGCCAAAAGGGCUGUGCCUGUGUGUGACACACGAUGUGUCAUCCAGACAGAGUGAGGAACACCACCACAGCUGCCCUGACCAACAGUGGCUGCUUGGGGGAACAAGGAGGGGUGGAUGUCACUGGGGAGAAGCAGCCAGCCCAGACUGAGUGAUGAGAGCAGCACCCAGCCACAGGCUGGCCACAGGCUGGCCACAGCUAUUCCAGUGUGACAGGGCUGAGUGCUGCGGU